CAUUGCACUCCAGCCUGGGCAACAAGAGCGAAACUCCGUCUAAAACAAAACAAAACAAAACAAAAACAAAACAAAAAGACAAACAAAAAAGGGGUUUCAGUAGGAAAUGAAAAGCGAGGAUAACGAAAGUGGUAUCUUCAGAGAUAAAGGCUAAACGGUUUCCAAAAUUCAACAAAGACAUAUCCUCAGAAGCUCAACCUUUUCAAAAGACAAGGGUGCUGCCUUCAGGAGGCCUCAGAAUCUAGGAAAAGGAGCAAGACUCAUCAACAAUACAAGAGCAACGCACUAUUGGCAUUGACACCCAUGUACAGAACAAAACCAAGUAGGGAAUAUCCACUGGAGUUGAAGGAAGAAGCCUAAAGCUGGGGACUCUAUCAUUAGAGAAGACUUGAAGGAGAAAGAGACAAGGCAAAUUCCAGAGUCACUGUUAAAAACAUUUGAAAGCAAAUUUUCCAGCGACCAAUGAAUGGAAGCAAUCCAUGCUAAGAAGGACACCAGUGAAGCCCUGUAUGGUAAUGUUACCAACAAACCAGAACACAGACAUCACAGGCUCCUCAUCACUGGACCGAAGAGUUACUCCCACAGGGAAAGACAAUGGGAGGCACUGGGCAAAUGCACCUUGGCUGCUAUGGUGAGACAAAAACUCUCCUUUCUGCACCUCUUUAAAAUAUGUCUAGAAAAUAUUAGUCAAUGAAACAUUUGUAACAUUCUGAAGCAUGACUUUCCUGAAUGCAAAAUAUCCAAGACAUGUUUCAGGCUCAGGGCCUUUCCCUUCUGUCUUCUUGGAAUACAGACAUGUCAGCAUGGCGUGCUGGUCAUGCUCUUUAGGUCUUUGUUCCAACUGUCACCUUCUCCCUGGAAUUCUAUUUAAAACUGCAAUAACCUGGCCAGGCACGGUGGCUCACACACCUGGUAAUCCUAGCACUUUGGGAGGCCAA